rnacentral:rRNA from 1 species
GACGGGGGGGGCAAGUGUUCUUCGGAAUUACUGGGCGUAAAGGGCUCGUAGGCGGCCAACUAAGUCGGACGUGAAAUCCCCAGGCUCAACCUGGGAACUGCGUCUGAUACUGGAUGGCUUGAAUCCGGGAGAGGGAUGCAGAAUUCCAGGUGUAGCGGUGAAAUGCGUAGAUAUCUGGAGGAAUACCGGUGGCGAAGGCGGCAUCCUGGACCGGCAUUGACGCUGAGGAGCGAAAGCCAGGGGAGCAAACGGG